GGAGAGUUCCAAGCAGUCGCUCUUCGUUUCGACGAAGGGAGGAAAGUCCGAACUCAAACGGGCCACAUGCUCGCUAACGGCGAGGCGCGGUGACGCGACGGAAAGUGCAGCAGAGAGGAGACCGCCCGGGUUCGCCCGGGUAAGGGUGAAAGGGUGCGGUAAGAGCGCACCGCUCGUCCGGCGACGGACGGGGCAAGGUAAACCCCAUGUGGAGCAAGACCAAAUAGGGAAGCGGCUUUCGGGCUGCCCGUCCCGAUCAGCCGUGCCGCCUAGGUGUGGCUGUCCGCUUCCGGGUAGGUCGCAUGAGGCUCUCGGCAACGAGAGUCCCAGAGGAAUGACUGCUGACCGGGCGAUUGCCCGGGAAACAGAAUUCGGCUUACGGAGCUCUCCGGCG
rnacentral:RNase_P_RNA from 1 species